CCAUAAUCGCCUAAUUUUGGGUACCAUCACUUAUAUAUACACCCCUAUCAUACAACAUCCUUCCAUCGCAUCCCAAUCCACCCUAAUUAGCAUCACAUUGCCAUAUUUCCUUCUGCUCUCUUUUUUAAGCAUACUCAACCAACCACCACUCCAAAAUGGCUGAGGAGAAGCAACACCACCACCUCUUCCACCACCACAAGGAGGAUGAAAAGCCUGUUGACACCUCUGUCUACUCUGAAACUGCUUACUCUGGUGAUAUCUCGGCUGGUUAUGGAGCUGGCCUGGCUGAAACGGGAGUGGAUUACAAGAAGGAAAUGGAAGUGGAUUACAAGAAGGAAGAAAAGCACCACAAGCACCUCGAGCACGCUGGGGAGCUAGGGGCUGCCGCAGCUGGUGCUUUUGCACUGGUAAUGUUUUCUCACGAGUUCAUUUUCUCAUCACUUAAUUAAUUAAGUUAUGCUUAAUUAGCAGUAACAUCUAACCCUUUUAUAGAGCAUCUUCUCUUUGUUAUUGGGGUGUUAGUACGUACAAAAAUAUAACCCUUUUGAUGGCUUUUGGUCAAUCAAUUAAUAAUAGUUACAAUUUUAAAUGUAUACUUCAGCAUGAGAAGCAC
rnacentral:lncRNA from 1 species